rnacentral:rRNA from 1 species
ACUCCUACGGGAGGCAGCAGUGGGGAAUAUUGGACAAUGGGCGCAAGCCUGAUCCAGCCAUGCCGUUUGAGUGAUGAUGGCUUACGGGUCGUAAAAAUAUCUAGUUAGGGCAGAACAAGUGCUAGUUAAAUAAGCCGGUACCUUGACGGUACGUAACCAGAAAGCCACGGCUAACUACGUGCCAGCAGCCGCGGUAAU